rnacentral:rRNA from 1 species
CUCAGGACGAACGCUGGCGGCGCGCUUAACACAUGCAAGUCGAGCGAGAACCGGCCCUUCGGGGCCGGGGACAGCGGCGAACGGGUGAGUAACACGUGGGUAAUCAACCCUCGGUACUGAGAUAGCCCGGGGAAACCCGGAUUAAUACCGGAUGGCCCUUUGGAUCCUCGGAUCUGACGGAAAAGGUAGCUUCGGCCUCCGACCGAGGACGAGCCCGCGGCGGAUUAGCUUGUUGGUGGGGUAACGGCCUACCAAGGCGACGAUCCGUAGCUGGUCUGAGAGGACGAUCAGCCACACUGGGACUGAGACACGGCCCAGACUCCUACGGGAGGCAGCAGUGGGGAAUCUUGCGCUAAUGCGGGAAACCGUGACGCAGCGACGCCGCGUGAGGGAAGAAGGCCUUCGGGUUGUAAACCUCUUUCAGGAGGGACGAAGCUACUCGGGUGAAUAGCCCAGAGGGUGACGGUACCUCCAGAAGAAGCCCCGGCUAACUACGUGCCAGCAGCCGCGGUAAUACGUAGGGGGCAAGCGUUGUCCGGAUUUAUUGGGCGUAAAGAGCGUGUAGGCGGCCAGGUAGGUCCGUUGUGAAAACUCGAGGCUCAACCUCGAGACGUCGACGGAA